AAUAUUUUGAGACUAGGGAUGAAAACUUUCCAAAAUAAAAAAACCCUAAAAGUUUCUCCUCAUAUUUUUGGCUAGGAGUCGGCAACCAUCCAACCUUCCAUUUUUCUUUCUCCUCCAUAUCCAAAAAACCAUCGGGAAUCUAUGGCCUCUUCUUCACUGAAACAGCUAGCCGACCAAACGACCAGCAACAAAAUAGAUCCAAAAACGACCUUCAAAAUGCAGCUGGAACAGCCACUCAAAUAGGCAACUACCUAACCCCAACUCGCCUGAAAUCACCAUUGGUCCUGCCAUCUUCUUCCCCAACUCAACAACCACAAAAGUCCCUCCUUCGUUUCCUCCUUUUUUCGGCGACGAAUAGCCGCAAAUCUUAACCAAUAACCACCAGACCCACCUCCAUCCUCCCCUUUCUUCUCCAACAUCAACAGAAAAAAAUUUAACCAUCAUCUUAGAACAAAAAAAAAGAAAACAAAUCCAUUUCACCACAAAAAUCUUAUCGUUUUCUCUUUUUCCAGUGAAAAGUCGUCGAAAACGAUCCAACAAUCAGACCACCGCCUGUCCUUUCACUUUUCCCCUUAACGAUUCUAUAUUUUUUGCAGGUGAACUAUAUCAACAAAUUUGUGAGCAAACAACAGCAGUAACCAAAAUUUCUAAGGAGCAACAAAACCAGUCACGAGGAAGAGUGACAACAACAACAAAUCUCUGACGGUUCCGAUCGUUGAAGAAUUUUGAAGGCGACAUUGUUGAAGGCUUUGAUUCUUCAUUUCAUCCAAGUAGGGUAGGUCCUCAACUUCCGAGGGUAGUGCCACUGUCUAGCUUACGGACUUGUUAAAGACUCUUUCAUUCUUUCCUUUUUAAUUGAGUACUAUACUUUUGUAUGACCUACAUGUGGUCUUGUUGACUUAAUGUAAGGGCUAUGUCCAUAUUGUGAUAAUCGUUUAGAUGGUAUGAGAUGAGACAAUCUUUGAGACUAUUUUUCUAUCUUAUAUAUGUAUAGUGCAAUAAAAGUAGAAGGCUAUGUAACCUUCCUAUACGAAGGGUCUAUGUAUACUCGAUACGACUAUAUAUUAUGUGUAUGUCGAGGUCUAUGCAAACCUCCAAGUAGUUGUAAUGGAAGUCUUAAAUUUUUCCGCAUUUUUCAACCUAUGAAUGUAAUGACAUGAGACUAAGAGGCUAGUCUUAGUCCUUGAAAAGGACGACGACGACGGUUACGUCUAGGGGGUAAACCCGAAUGUGAUACUAAGGUCCAAUCUAUGUUUAGUCAAGAUUUGAGUGUUUUGUUACUCUCAUCACAACUAAGUGCUAAUGAUGUUUAAUGAGCCUUUAUCAGUUUCCCUUUUGGAUUGCUGCUUUAAUGAUGUUUUAUUAAUGAUGAUAAGCAAAUGUUAAUUUAUUUAUUUUGUUGCUUUAUCUCCCUCAUAAUUUCUAAUCCUAUCAUUUAUUUGUUUUCACAUGUACUAUCGGUCGAGUUCGACUUGGACUCCGUUUUCCUCUUGUAUUGUCGUUGGGUUUCAAAACCCAACCUCCUUUAUGUUCGGGUCAGCCCCUUCGCAUUUUGAGUCAAGGAAACUGGCCAACAGGGGUUAAUAAUUGAUUCUAGACCCCAAAAAGAAGCCCCAAAAUGGGCUGUAUACAUCCCGUAUACUGCAGUAUACAUUGAUAUAUGAACUAAGAAUUUAAAUACAGGUUGAAAGCAGAUAAGAAGGUGUAAAGCAGUCCAAAAAUGGUCAGUAUACGUUUAUAUACACUAAUCUACAGGUUGUUGACGUCGGUAUACAAGGAUAUUACACCAGUAUACAGAAAUAUAUAUACUGCAUAAAGGCAGUGGAAAAUAGGCCAAGGCCCAAAUUUGGCUUAACCUUUUCUUUCUUUGUUUGAC
rnacentral:lncRNA from 1 species